AGCGAACGCUGGCGGCAGGCCUAACACAUGCAAGUCGAACGAACCCUUCGGGGUUAGUGGCGGACGGGUGAGUAACGUGUGGGAACGUGCCUUUAGGUUCGGAAUAACUCAGGUUAACGUGGGCUAAUGCCGAAUGUGCUAUUCGGGGGAAGGAUUUGUCGCAGCUAGAGCGGCCGGCGUUUGAUUAGCUAGUCGGUUGUGGGAAUGGCGCUGCAGGGCGACGUUGAGUAGCGGGUCAGAGAGGAUGAUCAGCCACAUUGGGACUAAGACACGGCCCAGACUCCUACGGGAUGCAGCAGAGGCGGAUCUUGCGCAACGGCGGAAAUCCAGAAGCAGCCAGGCCGCGUGAAUGAUGAAGGUCGGAGGAAAGUGAAAUUCUUUCACCGGGGGCGAUAAUGACGGUACCCGGAGAAGAAGCCCCGGCUAACUUCGUG
rnacentral:rRNA from 1 species